rnacentral:rRNA from 1 species
ACGUACACUCCUGCGGGAGGCAGCAGUGGGGAAUAUUGCACAAUGGGCGCAAGCCUGAUGCAGCCAUGCCGCGUGUAUGAAGAAGGCCUUCGGGUUGUAAAGUACUUUCAGCGGGGAGGAAGGCGAUAAGGUUAAUAACCUUGUCGAUUGACGUUACCCGCAGAAGAAGCACCGGCUAACUCCGUGCCAGCAGCCGCGGUAAUACGGAGGGUGCAAGCGUUAAUCGGAAUUACUGGGCGUAAAGCGCACGCAGGCGGUCUGUCAAGUCGGAUGUGAAAUCCCCGGGCUCAACCUGGGAACUGCAUGCGAAACUGGCAGGCUAGAGUCUUGUAGAGGGGGGUAGAAUUCCAGGUGUAGCGGUGAAAUGCGUAGAGAUCUGGAGGAAUACCGGUGGCGAAGGCGGCCCCCUGGACAAAGACUGACGCUCAGGUGCGAAAGCGUGGGGAGCAAACAGGAUUAGAAACCCUUGUAGUCCCAUG